rnacentral:lncRNA from 1 species
GACAAACCAAACCAAAAUUAACAUAAAACACCGGUCGAAAUUAUUGCCUCUCUCUCUUCCGAUUUCAAAGGCUAUUCCCGUUCUCCUUGUCGAUUUCUAAUCCCAGGCCAUGAACACACCAAACCCAAUAAUCAUACACCUACUCAGUUAUAAAUUUUUUACACACAAUUCCGAUGAACAUCGAUGGAUGUUCAUUCAUCGAAAACCAGAAAGCAAAAAAAGAAACUCUAUUCAUAAUCCAAUCAACACAAGCGAAUCCGACUAACCGUUAUAUAUCUAGAUCCCUUACCUAAAUCAAAAGCAAACUUUACCCCUUUUCUUACAAAUCUAAAACCAAUAUGUAAAC